rnacentral:rRNA from 1 species
AUUGAACGCUGGCGGCAUGCCUUACACAUGCAAGUCGAACGGUAACAGGUCUUCGGAUGCUGACGAGUGGCGAACGGGUGAGUAAUACAUCGGAACGUGCCCGAGAGUGGGGGAUAACGAAGCGAAAGCUUUGCUAAUACCGCAUACGAUCUCAGGAUGAAAGCAGGGGACCGCAAGGCCUUGCGCUCACGGAGCGGCCGAUGGCAGAUUAGGUAGUUGGUGGGAUAAAAGCUUACCAAGCCGACGAUCUGUAGCUGGUCUGAGAGGACGACCAGCCACACUGGGACUGAGACACGGCCCAGACUCCUACGGGAGGCAGCAGUGGGGAAUUUUGGACAAUGGGCGCAAGCCUGAUCCAGCCAUGCCGCGUGCAGGAUGAAGGCCUUCGGGUUGUAAACUGCUCUUGUACGGAACGAAAAGACUCUGGUUAAUACCUGGGGUCCAUGACGGUACCGUAAGAAUAAGCACCGGCUAACUACGUGCCAGCCGCCGCAGUAA